rnacentral:rRNA from 1 species
AUUGAACGCUGGCGGCAGGCCUAACACAUGCAAGUCGAACGAGUGGCGAACGGGUGAGUAAUCUCUGGGAAACUGCCUAAUGGUGGGGGAUAACUAAUCGAAACCUUAGCUAAUACCGCAUACCAUUCGAUCUUCCGAGAUCUGAUUAGCUAGUUGGUGGGGUAAAGGCCUACCAAGGCGACGAUCCGUAGCUGGUCUGAGAGGAUGACCAGCCACACUGGAACUGAGACACGGUCCAGACUCCUACGGGAGGCAGCAGUGGGGAAUAUUGCACAAUGGGCGCAAGCCUGAUGCAGCCAUGCCGCGUGUAUGAAGAAGGCCUUCGGGAUGUAAAGUACUUUGAACAGGGAAGCGUUACCCGAAGAAGAAGCACCGGCUAACUCCGUGCCAGCAGCCGCAGUAAUAC